rnacentral:tRNA from 1 species
UCCCGUGUGGCUCAGUUGGUAGAGCAUGGUGUUUGCAAUGCCAGGUGUGUGUGUUCAAUUCCUACGGGGG